AGACUGGACUGCCCAGCUCCGUGGGGUGGCAUCUGGUUUCUGGUGCUAUUCUGCCAAGUUAUCGAGCUCCUCCUCAUGUUUCAACAUUCCAUCUUCCCGUUUCUAUCCUCGACUCCAAAGAACAGUGGGCACUGCCCACCACCUCGUGUCUGCUCAUAGGAUGACGCUGGAGAUCCCCACACUUACUCUACCCUCUUGGCAAAUUGGCAUUCCGGUGGUGGUUUUUGUUUCCUUUAACACAUUAAAUAAAUGAGUAUAUAGGAUGUGAGGGGAGGGGUGAGAACAACUAGCUGUAGCAUGUGUAGGCUAUAUACUUUACCAUUUGACUUCUUUCCUUUUUUUUUUUUUAAAUAAAAAAAGUGCUUGACUGGUUUCAAGCUUCAUCAUGAA
rnacentral:lncRNA from 1 species